AUUGAACGCUGGCGGCAGGCCUAACACAUGCAAGUCGAACGAGUGGCGGACGGGUGAGUAAUGUCUGGGAAACUGCCUGAUGGAGGGGGAUAACUACUGGAAACGGUAGCUAAUACCGCAUACCAUCGGAUGUGCCCAGUUGGGAUUAGCUAGUUGGGGGGGUAACGGCUCACCUAGGCGACGAUCCCUAGCUGGUCUGAGAGGAUGAACAGCCACACUGGGACUGAGACACGGCCCAGACUCCUACGGGAGGCAGCAGUGGGGAAUAUUGCUCAAUGGGCGCAAGCCUGAUGCAGCCAUGCCGCGGUUAUGAAGAAGGCCUUCGGGUGGUAAAGUACUUGCAGCGGGGAGGCGUUACCCGCAGAAGAAGCACCGGCUAACUCCGUGCCAGCAGCCGCGGUAAUUC
rnacentral:rRNA from 1 species